GCUGUAGCUCAGUGAUAGAACACCUGCUUUGCAUGCAGAAGGUCCCAGGUUCAAAUCCUGACAAAGACG